AGCAGCCGCGGUAAUUCCAGCUCCAAUAGCGUAUAUUAAAGUUGUUGCAGUUAAAAAGCUCGUAGUUGAAUUUCGGGGUUAGUAAGUUGGUCGUGCCUAUGGUAUGCACUGGCUUUACUGAUUCCUCCUUCUUGAAGAACUGUAAUGUCAUUAAUUUGGUGUUUGCAGGGAAACAGGACUGUUACUUUGAAAAAAUUAGAGUGUUUAAAGCAGGCUAACGCUUGAAUACAUUAGCAUGGAAUAAUGAAAUAGGACGUUUGAUCCUAUUUUGUUGGUUUCUAGGAUUGACGUAAUGAUUAAUAGGGAUAGUUGGGGGCAUUAGUAUUCAAUUGUCAGAGGUGAAAUUCUUGGAUUUAUUGAAGACUAACUACUGCGAAAGCAUUUGCCAAGGAUGUUUUCAUUAAUCAAGAACGAAAGUUAGGGGAUCGAAGACGAUCAGAUACCGUCGUAGUCUUAACCAUAAACUAUGCCGACUAGGGAUCGGAUGAUGUUAAUUUUUAAUGACUCAUUCGGCGCCUUA
rnacentral:rRNA from 1 species